UUGUCAGCUUUUGUAUCUACUAGAUGCUACUGGGUUCUAUUCUUUAGGAUUACACGUUCUUGGGAUUCAUGUUUGUCGAGCUACAGGGCAGGAGCUGGUACUUAUUCUAGAGGCCCUUCAAAAUGGAGUCUCUUGAUGAAUCUACCUCUUCCUCCAUCAGCCAUGGUAUUCAUGUCUUCCAUUGCCCAGAUGAGUUGGGAAUAGUUGCAAAGCUAUCAGAAUGUAUUGCUUCAAUAGGUGGAAACAUUC